CAAGGAUUAGAGAGAUAUUGGAAAAUGUAGGGCUAGCACAAGAAAGUUUGCCCUCAAAUGUGGUUGGGUCAGCUCAAGUUUUGGCAAAUGUGGCAAACUUGUUGAAUAUAAGAGAUACUGAACUAAGUAGUUUUCUUGUAGCAAUGGGGGAUAUUUCCUUAAGAAAGACUGGAGUAGAGGAAAAGAGGGCUAAAGCACAGAAAGAGUCCAAAAUUCUUCUCGAUUACACUCGG
rnacentral:misc_RNA from 1 species